rnacentral:lncRNA from 1 species
CAUAUGCUCUUUCUUCUCCUGUUUGAGGUACAGGUAGAUCCCGUUAUACGCGAUUUCGUUAUCCGCGAUUUCGGAUAUACGCGGUUUUCGUUUAAUAGCGCCAUCUAUCGCCAAUAUACGAAAGCUCUUUUAUUUUUGUUAGGAGUCGAAUUCAGUUUUGGUUUUUUUAUCCGUGUUUGUACACAUUUAGCACAUCACCGGUUAUCUGUGAAUAAUUAGGUUGCUAUACAUCAGUUUGGACGAGAUCAGCUGAGUUUCUAAGUUAUAUGCGAAAAGAUUUAUUAUUGUAGCACUUAAAAUGCCGCCGAAACGUAAAGAAAGUGUUACUAAUUGAAGGAAGAAAGCGGGUCCGAA